rnacentral:lncRNA from 1 species
CUAUACAAUAACUCAGGCCUCAUUCCAGCCCAUUAAAUAUUAUCAUUUGGGCCCAAUAAAUUAAAGCGAGCCUGAUCAACGACGGCCCACAUCCACACCCUAUAAAAUAUCUGUUCGAAAUUUGAUUCCAAAUCAUAACCCAUUCAAAAUUCGAAUUCGAUUUCGAAUUUUGAAUUCCUAACCAACUCCCAAAAUAUCUCUCAACCAACAUCCAUUCGAAUUUUGAAUACUCAUCCAUCCAACAACCUAUUCAAAAUUCAAUUUCGAAUUUCGAAUACCCAACCAACCAUAUCCAUUCGAAUUUUGAAUACUCAUCCAUCCAACAACCGAUUCAAAAUUCGAUUUCGAAUUUCGAAUCCCCAACCAACUCCCAAAAUAUCUUCCAACCAACCACAUCCAUUCGAAUCCAUCCAACAACCCAUUCAAAAUUCAAUUUCAAAUUUCGAAUCCCCAAACAACUCCCAAAAUAUCUUUCAACCAACCACAUCCAUUCGAAUUCAAAAUUCGAUUUUGAAUUUUGAAUCCCCAACCAACUCCUCAAAAUAUCUCUCACCACCCCUUCUA